CCUACGGGAUGCAGCAGUAGGGAAUCUUCGGCAAUGGACGAAAGUCUGACCGAGCAACGCCGCGUGAGUGAAGAAGGUUCUCGGAUCGUAAAACUCUGUUGUUAGAGAAGAACAAGUAGGAGAGUAACUGCUCUUACCUUGACGGUAUCUAACCAGAAAGCCACGGCUAACUACGUGCCAGCAGCCGCGGUAAUACGUAGGUGGCAAGCGUUGUCCGGAUUUAUUGGGCGUAAAGCGAGCGCAGGCGGUCUUUUAAGUCUGAUGUGAAAGCCCUCGGCUCAACCGAGGAAGGUCAUUGGAAACUGGAGGACUUGAGUGCAGAAGAGGAGAGUGGGAUUCCAUGUGUAGCGGUGAAAUGCGUAGAUAUAUGGAGGAGCACCAGUGGCGAAGGCGUCUCUCUGGUCCGUAACUGACGCUGAGGCUCGAAAGCGUGGGGAGCAAACAGGAUUAGAUACCCCCGUAGUC
rnacentral:rRNA from 1 species